rnacentral:rRNA from 1 species
UUAACGCUGAGGUGUGAUGACGAGGCACUACGGUGCUGAAGUAACAAAUGCCCUGCUUCCAGGAAAAGCCUCUAAGCAUCAGGUAACAUCAAAUCGUACCCCAAACCGACACAGGUGGUCAGGUAGAGAAUACCAAGGCGCUUGAGAGAACUCGGGUGAAGGAACUAGGCAAAAUGGUGCCGUAACUUCGGGAGAAGGCACGCUGAUAUGUAGGUGAAGCCCCUGCGGGUGGAGCUGAAAUCAGUCGAAGAUACCAGCUGGCUGCAACUGUUUAUUAAAAACACAGCACUGUGCAAACACGAAAGUGGACGUAUACGGUGUGACGCCUGCCCGGUGCCGGAAGGUUAAUUGAUGGGGUUAGCGGCAACGCGAAGCUCUUGAUCGAAGCCCCGGUAAACGGCGGCCGUAACUAUAACGGUCCUAAGGUAGCGAAAUUCCUUGUCGGGUAAGUUCCGACCUGCACGAAUGGCGUAAUGAUGGCCAGGCUGUCUCCACCCGAGACUCAGUGAAAUUGAACUCGCUGUGAAGAUGCAGUGUACCCGCGGCAAGACGGAAAGACCCCGUGAACCUUUACUAUAGCUUGACACUGAACACUGGUCCUUGAUGUGUAGGAUAGGUGGGAGGCUUUGAAGCGUGGACGCCAGUCUGCGUGGAGCCGACCUUGAAAUACCACCCUUUAAUGGCUGGUGUUCUAACGUAGACCCGUAAUCCGGGUUGCGGACAGUGUCUGGUGGGUAGUUUGACUGGGGCGGUCUCCUCCCAAAGAGUAACGGAGGAGCACGAAGGUUAGCUAAUCCUGGUCGGACAUCAGGAGGUUAGUGCAAUGGCAUAAGCUAGCUUGACUGCGAGAGUGACGGCUCGAGCAGGUGCGAAAGCAGGUCAUAGUGAUCCGGUGGUUCUGAAUGGAAGGGCCAUCGCUCAACGGAUAAAAGGUACUCCGGGGAUAACAGGCUGAUACCGCCCAAGAGUUCAUAUCGACGGCGGUGUUUGGCACCUCGAUGUCGGCUCAUCACAUCCUGGGGCUGAAGUAGGUCCCAAGGGUAUGGCUGUUCGCCAUUUAAAGUGGUACGCGAGCUGGGUUUAGAACGUCGUGAGACAGUUCGGUCCCUAUCUGCCGUGGGCGCUGGAGAAUUGAGGGGGGCUGCUCCUAGUACGAGAGGACCGGAGUGGACGCAUCACUGGUGUUCGGGUUGUCAUGCCAAUGGCACUGCCCGGUAGCUAAAUGCGGAAAAGAUAAGUGCUGAAAGCAUCUAAGCACGAAACUUGCCCCGAGAUGAGUUCUCCCUGACCCUUUAAGGGUCCUGAAGGAACGUUGAAGACUACGACGUUGAUAGGUCGGGUGUGUAAGCGCAGCGAUGCGUUGAGCUAACCGAUACUAAUGAACCGUGAGGCUUAACCUU